rnacentral:misc_RNA from 1 species
UUUCCGUAGGUGAACCUGCGGAAGGAUCAUUAAAGAGUAAGGGUCUUCGGGCCCGAUCUCCAACCCUUUGUUUAACUACCAUGUUGCUUUGGCGGGCCCGUCUCACGACCGCCGGAAGUUUGGCUUCGACCAAACUUCUGGCCCGUGCCCGUCAGUGGCCCCUUCAAAUUCUUGAUCAAGUAUGAUGUCUUAGUUAAAAACUUAAUAGUUGAAACUUUCAACAACGGAUCUCUUGGUUCUG